CUGGUAGUCCACGCCGUAAACGAUGUCGACUUGGAGGUUGUGCCCUUGAGGCGUGGCUUCCGGAGCUAACGCGUUAAGUCGACCGCCUGGGGAGUACGGCCGCAAGGUUAAAACUCAAAUGAAUUGACGGGGGCCCGCACAAGCGGUGGAGCAUGUGGUUUAAUUCGAUGCAACGCGAAGAACCUUACCUACUCUUGACAUCCAGAGAACUUUCCAGAGAUGGAUUGGUGCCUUCGGGAACUCUGAGACAGGUGCUGCAUGGCUGUCGUCAGCUCGUGUUGUGAAAUGUUGGGUUAAGUCCCGCAACGAGCGCAACCCUUAUCCUUUGUUGCCAGCGGUUAGGCCGGGAACUCAAAGGAGACUGCCAGUGAUAAACUGGAGGAAGGUGGGGAUGACGUCAAGUCAUCAUGGCCCUUACGAGUAGGGCUACACACGUGCUACAAUGGCGCAUACAAAGAGAAGCGACCUCGCGAGAGCAAGCGGACCUCAUAAAGUGCGUCGUAGUCCGGAUUGGAGUCUGCAACUCGACUCCAUGAAGUCGGAAUCGCUAGUAAUCGUGGAUCAGAAUGCCACGGUGAAUACGUUCCCGGGCCUUGUACACACCGCCCGUCACACCAUGGGAGUGGGUUGCAAAAGAAGUAGGUAGCUUAACCUUCGGGAGGGCGCUUACCACUUUGUGAU
rnacentral:rRNA from 1 species